rnacentral:miRNA from 1 species
AUCAGGAUCAACGUUUCAGUCCUCUCCAAGGACUCCAACAUGAUCCUGAUGAAAGUCCUUGGAGAGGACUGAAACGUUGAUCCUGAUUUUAAAA